GUGACCUCAAAUCAGGUAGGACUACCCGCUGAACUUAAGCAUAUCAAUAAGCGGAGGAAAAGAAACUAACAAGGAUUCCCCUAGUAACUGCGAGUGAAGCGGGAAAAGCUCAAAUUUAAAAUCUGGCGGUCUUUUGGCUGUCCGAGUUGUAUCCAGAGAAGUGUUAUCCGCGCUGGACGUGUAC
rnacentral:rRNA from 1 species